rnacentral:rRNA from 1 species
UACGGCGGGGGCUAGCGUUGUCCGAAGUUACUGGGCGUAAAGCGCGCGUAGGCGGGUUGGUAAGUCCGCUGUGAAAGCCCGGAGCUCAACUCCGGAGGGUCGGUGGAUACUGCCAGUCUUGAAGGUGCUAGGGGGAGAUGGAAUUACCGGUGUAGCGGUGAAAUGCGUAGAUAUCUGGAGGAACACCGGUGGCGAAGGCGGCAUCCUGGACCAACACUGACACUGAGGAGCGAAAGCCAGGGGAGCAAACGGG